UCAAAGAAGAAGAAGAAGAAGAUGAUGAUGAAGAAGAAGAAGAAGAUAACGUCAUAGGUCACAUGACAACGUCAACAUGGCGGAUCGCAUUCAUACUCAGCGAGAUUUGGCUGUAGAGUACAUACUCUUUUAUCGCUCGUUAAGUACUCACUUAUUGAAAUUAAGUACCUACUCAUUGAGUAUGUGGUUUCACAGCAGCCAUUGAAUGCUCACUGGGUCAGCAGGAGAAGUAUGUGAGAGAGAAACUGCAUAGGCGGGUUUCGGGAGAAAUUACUCAUGGGGAAAGUUCGCAUAAACAGGCACGUCACUGCCAAUAAUAGCAUGAACAUCACUGACAGAGAAACAUUUACCAGAGGUUUCAGUGUGCAGAUAUUUCUGAGAGAAAGAAGAAAAAAAAAAUGGCAAAAAGAGAGGAUGAGAUACAAUCUGACGAGUCAAAACAGAAAAAGCUGCUGAGAGAAGUCAGAUGGAACAGCAUUAAUAGCGGCAGACCAAACUUUUCUCAUGACACAAAGACACCUGAAGAGAUUCAUUCUGAUGUUUCAGAUGGACUCACAGACCAGGGGUCUAAUGUUUCUGGACGAGAUCAGACAUGAGCUCCUCAGAAACAACAAGCUGCUGUUGAACCUCUUUUAUUGUAGAUGACUUCUAGAUUUGUUUAUUUAAAAAAAAUUAAAAAAACUAUUAUAUAAAAACACUUAAAAUAAAUGGUAUUGAACAUAUUGUAUGCAUACAUAAUACAAUAAUCUGCUGUAUUUCUUAUGUAUUGUUUUACUUUAAUGCAAAUUGUUAAUCCAGAGCUUUUUUUUCCACGAUUGAAAUGACCUUUCUCACAGACAUUGUUAACUUUGUACAUUUAUAGUUAUGAAAUAAAAAAUUUAAAAAAUUUAAAAAAGGCAUUUGAUUUGACUUCUGUGCAGCUUGUCUAAAGAAUUGAAUUUACUGAAGAUGUCAAAACAUCAGACUUUAAAAAAAAGGUUUAUUUAUAUAAAACUACAAAUUAAGUGAAGCUCAGGAAUAACUUUAUAAUUUGAUCAGUCUCAAGAUCCAAACAAUUGGUUAUCAAACAAUAAAGGGAUGAUUCAUCUGACAGUAUUAUAAUCUACCUCUAAUUUAGGCUGAUGUUAAUAAAUAGCAUUAUUUAAAAAAAAAAGAAAAUACAAAUACAACAAAAAUAAUUAAAUUAAUAAGAACCAAAUUACCAAACUGAGUAUAAAAACUCUAAAGUAAAACAUUCAGAUUACCUACAGUAAUGAGAAGGUAAAAUAUAAUUAUCAUGGUAUUAGUACAUUAGCACCACCUACUGCUGAACACAUACAAACAUUUUGCCAUUUUAUUAUGAUUAAUAAUAAUCCUAAUUUUAAAAUGAAUGAAUUGAAUUAAGUAAUUACAAGAGAGGUUUUGUUGGUGCUAUAUCCUAAUGUCAUUCUGUUACGGAAUGAUCAGAGCAUGAGACGUUCAGAUCCAUCUGCAGGCUUUUAUUAGACAGAGACGUGGUCAUAACAGACAUGGUGCAAACAGGUAUAUUGAGGGCAAGGUAAGAGAAUAAUCCAAAACGGGUUUGGUCGGUCGAUGGCUAACAAUAUCCAGUGCGCUUGACAAAAGGGGUAAUCCGUAAACAAGAGCAAUAGUCCGGGCUGGGGAAAACAGUAUCCAAAACAGGGCCAGACACAUGGGUAAUCCAAGAUACACAGGCUAGAAUCAGAACACGGGAAAACAGGCAAGGCAAGACUACGAAUAAACUACGGCAGUAGAACUGGCUUCCUUAGAGUAGCUAUCGCUAAACAAUACUUGCAGUGAGAAAGAGGAAGUCCAUGGCUUAUGUAGCAUGUCUGAUUGAAUUCAGCUGUGUAUGUGUACUCAGUGCAGUGGAUUAUGGGAACUGUAGUCCGGGGUGAAGUGCAACAAUUAGUGCAGUGCAAGAGUCCAUGUGGUGAGCGGGUGACCUCUGGUGGUGAGUGAACGGAAGCACAUGAACAGGAUUCGUGACAUUCAAAUAUAAAAAUUGAUUUACGUAAUAUAUCCUACAAUUAAAAACAUAGUACUGUUAGAGUACAUAUAGAUUUAGGUCUAUAUCAGACUACAGUACAGAAUAACAAUUGCAAUAAAUAGAACUAUUACAAAUUAAAUUAUGUAAAUGUAUAAAUGUAUUCAUUAUUUCAAGACAAAAGUGUUAAAAUAAGAUGUACAUUAAUAUAUACUUUGACAUGAUGAUCCCCAUUAAGCUGCAGAUUUUCUCAUACUGCCUUUCACCUUAAAGGGAUAGUUCACCCAAAAAUGAAAAUGUGAUGUUUAUCUGCUUAGCCCCAGGGCAUCCAAGAUGUAGGUGACUUUGUUUCUUCAGUAGAACACAAACGAAGGUUUUUAACUCAAACCGUUAUAGUCUGUCAGUCAUAUAAUGCCAGUCAAUGGGCACACAAUCUUUGAGAGGAAAAAAAAACAUGCACAGACAAAUCCAAAUUAAACCUUGCUGCUCGUGACGAUACAUUGAUGUCCUAAGACACGAAACGAUCGGUUUGUGCGAGAAACUAUAUAUAUAUAAAUAGGCUAAUAUAAUAAAUUAAACAUUACCUUGUCAUAAUAGUUUUAUAAUUUAUACAGAUAAUUGUUAUAUAUGCCAAUAAAAUAUAAUAACCAUAUUAGAGCAAUAUAUAGGCUAAUCUUAUUUAUUACUUAUAUUAGCGCUUUAUCAUUAAAAUAGCAUACAACUAAUAUAUAUAUAUAUAUAUAUAUAUAUAUAUACACAGUGCCCUCCAAAAGUAUUGUAACAGAGUUAGGUUUACACGCAACAGCUCUUACUGGCCUAUGACAGUUACACUAGCCAUUAUGUUUAAUUGAAGGAGGCAUAUGCGUGUAGAUGCAGCGCGGAGAGCCGCUUUUGAAACGUGCACGGCGCAGCUGGUAUAAACGCAAGCAUUGACUAGAGUGGCCGCGAUCCUAAUCCUCAUGUCAUUCCAAACCAGUGUAGGGGAAGUACAGUUAAGACCUGUAGACCAGUUAUGAUGAAUGAAGACCAGGAGUCAGAGAUGCAAUCAGUCGAGGAAAAAUUUGUUUGUAGUUUCAUCAGCAGAAGUCGGCUUCAAUACUCAGCAAGGAGUUUGUAGGCUGCUCUCCCCAUACAUCAAAUACAACCCGAAAAUGUUGGCCAUUUUUUUUAAAUUUUGAAUAAAAUGAAAACUGAAAGACUUUCAAAUCACAUGAGCCAAUAUUUUAUUCACAAUAGGACAUAGAGAACAUAACAUGUUUAAACGGAGAAAUUUUACACUUAUCCACUAAGUGAGCUCAUUUCAAAUUUGAUGCCAGCUAGAGGUCUCAAAAAAGUUGGCAUGGGGGUAACAAAGGGCUGAAAAAGCAAGACAUUUUGUAAAAGAUUCAGCUGGGAGAACAUCCGGCAACUAAUUAAGUUAAUUGGCAUCAGGCCUGUAACAUGAGCUAUAAAAGGGAUGUAUUAGAGAGGCAGAGUCUCUCAGAAGUAAAGAUGGGCAGAGGCUCUCCAAUCUGUGAAAGAGUGUAAAAAGAUUGUGGAAUACUUUAAAAACAACGUUCCUCAACGUCAAAUUGCAAAGGCUUUGCAAAUCUCAUCAUCUACAGUGCAUAACAUCAUCAAAAGAGUCAGAGAAACUGGAGAAAUCUCUGUGCGUAAGGGACAAGGCAGAAGACCUUUGGAUGCCCAUGGCUCAGACGACACUGCAUCACUCAUUGGAAUGAUUCUGUCACUGACAUUACUAAAUGGGCCCAGGAAUACUUCCAGAAACCACUGUCGGUAAACACAAUCCGCCAUGCCAGCUGCAGAUGCCAACUAAAGCUCUAUCAUGCAACAGGAAGCCAUAUGUGAACAUGGUCCAAGGCUCAUUUAAAAUGGACUGUUUCAAAGUGGAAAAGUGUUCUAUGGUCAGACGAGUCCAAAUUUGACAUUCUUGUUGGAAAUCACGGAUGCCAUGUCCUCCGAGCUAAAGAGGAGGGGAGACCUUCCAGCAUGUUAUCAGCGUUCCGUUCAAAAGCCAGCGUCUCUGAUGGUGUGGGGGUGCAUAAGUGCAUAUGGUAUGGGAAGCUUGCUUGUUUUGGAAGGCACUAUGAUUGCUGAAAGGUGUAUAUAAAGGUUUUAGAGCAGCAUAUGCUCCCCUCCAGAUGACGUGUAUUUCAGCAGAACAAUGAAACCACAUACUGCAGCAAUUACAACUGCAUGGCUUCGUAGUAGAAGAGUCCGGGUGCUGAAUUGGCCUGCCUGCAGUCCAGAUCUUUCACCUAUAGAGAACAGUUGGCGCAUCAUUAAACUAAAAAUAUGUCAAAGACGACCACGAACUCUUCAGCAGCUGGUAACCUAUAUCAGGCAAGAAUGGGACCAAAUUCCAACACCAAAUCUCCAGAAACUCAUAACCUCGAUGCCCAGAUGUCUUCAAACUGUUUUGAAAAGAAGAGGAGAUGCUACACUAUGGUAAACAUGCCCCCGUCCCAACUGUUUUGAGACCUGUAGCAGGCAUCAAAUUUGAAAUGAGCUCAUUUUGUGCAUAAAAUUUUAAAAUUUCUCAGUUUAAACAUUUGUUAUCUGUGCUCUAUUGUGAAUAAAAUAUUGGCUCGUGUGAUUUUUAAAUUCUUUUAGUUUUCAUUUUAUUCAAAUUUAAAUAACGUCCCAACAUUUCCAGAAUUCAGUUUGUACAGCAGCAAUUAUACUCAAACAGAAAUCAGUAUGCUAUUUCAUUACUUCAAGUUUCAGUAUUCUGAUUGGCUAAAGCAUAGAUGAAUUUGGAACAUCGUCGAACAAUAGCAGUCAAUAACAUAUCUUCAUUGAUUAUCAGCAUGACAUCGGGGGUUCGAGUCUUAGGCACAACAUGUCCCUCCUAGCUCACAGAACAGCAUUUUGAUUAGUCCGGUGGUCAUAAUAUGGUCAUUCCAACACCCCGGAUGCUACUUAUUCACCUUACGGGAGCCAUCUCGUCCUGCAACAAAAACGCAUACAUACAUACAUCAUCUUCAAGGCUAGAGGAUUCAGAGACAUCCUUUCUCACAGUGAGGGGUUCAAACAAUAUUCUGCAUUUAUUCUCUAAGUAUGAUGUGAAGUGAAAGUUCUUAAUGUGUGAGUUGGUCAAGCAGGGAAGGCCCUGUGUGUGAGAAGCAUGUUAUAUUUCUUAACCCUACUUCAGUAUAAGAUUACAGAAAUUAUUCAAAUCAUUAAAUUCAUAGAAGGAUAAAUAUUGAUUAAUAACUGAUCGUAAUCAUUCAAAAGGAUAUAAUAAAAAGCAAGGUGGGGGAUCCUGAUUUAUGUGGAAUAUAAAAGAAAAUGGAAGUCAGUGGUAACCAACUUUUUUUUCCCUUUCAGAAGAAAGUAAAUCAAGCAGGUUUGGAAUGACAAAGACAAAACUGGACUGAUGCAAAAAUAUGGGAGUUUUACCUGCAAACCCAUGUGAGAUUGCUGUAUGAUUCAUCUGCUCCACGAAACAAAAAGCGCAAAAAAUGACAACCACUGCACCAGAGAUGAUUUAUUUAAUUCCCAGAUGUGUAUAGUCUAUAAUCUAUCAACAUUGCUUCCUCUCCUCUUCGUGAACAUUGUGCUUUGUGUGGCAGCCUGUAAUAAUGCAGAAUAUGAAGUUAAUGGAGUGUGUUGCCCGAUGUGUUAUCCAGGAAAGCGAGUUUAUAGACAUUGUGAUGAGUACACAAGCACAACAUGUGAUUCAUGCCCCGUGAUGACCUUCACUGACGCUCCUAAUAGAUUUACUGAAUGUCUGCACUGUUCUGUCUGUGAUCCAAGUAAUGGGCUGAGAGUAAAGCAUGCAUGUACAUUAAUAUCAGAUACAGUGUGUGAACCUCUGCCAGGUUAUUACUGUGUAGACUUGCUCUCCAACUGUAAAAAGGCCAUGAAACAUUCAUCCUGCUCACCUGGACAAUACAUCAAACAAAACGGAACAGAAUUCAGAGAUACAGUGUGUGAUGUCUGUCCUGGCGGUUCAUAUUCAGAUGGCACAUUCUGCAAAUUGCAUACAAACUGUGAAUCUCUUGGCAAAUUAACAAUCAAGGAAGGAACCGAUACGACUGAUGCUGAGUGCAGGAAUAGAGCACGUUCUCAUUUACUGUCACUGAUUCUGUGUGGAGUGUGGUCGCUGUUGUUUACUGUCAUCAUUGUAAUUAUUGUAAAGAAGAAAAAGCAAAGGCAAAAUAGCGAAUUAAAUCGAGUUACAACCCAAGAUGUGGACCUGUAAACUUUUUUUAUAUAUAGUAAGUUGCAUAGAUCCCCCAACAGAUAUUUUAUCAAAGAUUCAGUCAUGUUUAGUGGACAUUUUUUGGGACAAGCUGCACUGGGAACCAAAAAGUGUAUUGAACUUUCCUAAAGAAGGACUUGGACCGGUGCAUCUACAAAGUCGAACAGCUGCUUUCAGAAAUCAGUUCAUACAAAGACUUUUAACAGACUCGGAGAACUCAAACUGGAAGAAGGUGGCCUUCUCUGUUCUGAGAGGGUUUGAAGGCCUGGGAUUGGACAGAGCCUUACUUUGGCUAGAUCCUCAGAAGCUGAAACGCUCUAAGUUUCCUGUUUUUUAUCAAAAUCUUUUUAAAGUGUGGGCCGUGUUCAAGAUCCCAGAGGAGAGGACUGUGAACUCUUUGCUGUUGCACGAGCCGUUAAUGUUUGGCUCAUGUUUGGCCUUGUCCAGUGAACUGAGUUACUUUGUGACAGAAGAGGAUCUUCUCAACUCUGGACUUUUAACUAUUGGACAAGUUCUACAAGUAGCUGGAGCUAACAAUAUAAAUGUGAGUUCAGUGACUGAGAAGCUGGGGAUAAUGGACAACUGUGGAGGAGGCUGUUUCUUAGAGGUUACCAGUUUGGUUGUGAUGGGCUCAGAUGUUACUUCUGGAAAGGUCUGUUACAAAAUCUGUGUUAUAAUCUUUAAUAAGAAGGCCUUGGAUAAAAAAAAAAAACGAUACAACUUGGCGUGGUAUGCUUCAUAUGAAAGAGAGUGAAAAACCUGAGUGGAGAGUAUUGUAUAAGUCAGCAUUAUCUGAGAGAAUUGGAGAUUUGAUUAUAUGUCAAAUUAUUUUUUACUUUAUUUAUCCAGUUUUUCUUUUUCACCCAGCAAACAUAAAUAUACUGAUAAACACAAGGUACAAGACUCUGGCUUUCUCUGUCUUCUUUGGAGCUCCUAUGAAAUAACAAGAGAGAAAAUACUGUCAAGUAUGUCAACAGUAUGAUGAAUAAAUAUUAAUGGUAACACUUUACAAUAUGAUGUAUUUUGUUAACAUUAGUUAAUGUAUUAACUAACAUCAAUGAACAAUACAUUUAUUACACAAUUUAUUAAUCUUUGUUAAUAAAAAUACAGUCGUUUAUUGUUCAUGUUAGUUCACAGUGCAUUAAUGUUUACAAACAACUUGUGAUUUUAAUAAUGCAUUAGUAAAUGCUGAAAUUAACAUGAACUAAGAUUAUAAAUGCAGCAGAAGUAUUGUUCAUUCUUAUUUCAUGAUAAUAGAUUAACAGAUUUGAACAAAGAAAUGAAGCAUUACUACGCACAGGCCGUAUUGAUUGCUAAUACAAAAAUAAGGCGAGUAAAGAAAACGUGGUACUUAAUAAAAUAAUCACCCUUUACUUAAAUAUAUGAACACAGAAAACCUCUGUUAACAGGUUAAUGUAACAUUUCCCAUUCUAUGACUAAUAAAAUAAUCGCAACUUACUCUGUGUAACUGAACAUGGCUUUCCUCGGAGAAGCUGC